UGAACGCUGGCGGCGUGCCUAAUACAUGCAAGUCGAGCGAACAGAUACGGAGCUUGCUCCUUUGACGUUAGCGGCGGACGGGUGAGUAACACGUGGGUAACCUACCUAUAAGACUGGGAUAACUUCGGGAAACCGGAGCUAAUACCGGAUAACAUUUGGAACCGCAUGGUUCUAAAGUGAAAGAUGGUUUUGCUAUCACUUAUAGAUGGACCCGCGCCGUAUUAGCUAGUUGGUAAGGUAACGGCUUACCAAGGCAACGAUACGUAGCCGACCUGAGAGGGUGAUCGGCCACACUGGAACUGAGACACGGUCCAGACUCCUACGGGAGGCAGCAGUAGGGAAUCUUCCGCAAUGGGCGAAAGCCUGACGGAGCAACGCCGCGUGAGUGAUGAAGGGUUUCGGCUCGUAAAACUCUGUUAUUAGGGAAGAACAAAUGUGUAAGUAACUGUGCACGUCUUGACGGUACCUAAUCAGAAAGCCACGGCUAACUACGUG
rnacentral:rRNA from 1 species